GAAUAGAUCUAGUCAUCGAAGGAACCGGUGUGUUCGUCGAUAGAGAAGGUGCAGGUAAGCACAUUCAAGCAGGAGCCAAGAAAGUGCUGAUUACUGCUCCAGGUAAGGGUGACAUCCCCACCUAUGUUGUUGGAGUGAAUGCUGACACCUACAACCCAGAUGAGCCUAUCAUCAGCAAUGCUUCUUGCACCACCAAUUGCCUUGCUCCUUUCGUCAAGGUUCUGGACCAGAAGUUUGGUAAUUCCUUUUAACACUAUAUUAAUAUAGAUGAUAUGCCCUAUUACGAGUUUCUGACUAAUGCUAAUGUAAUAUAUAUGACAGGUAUCAUCAAGGGCACCAUGACUACCACUCACUCGUACACCGGUGACCAGAGGCUUCUUGAUGCUAGCCACCGUGACCUCAGGCGUGCUAGAGCCGCAGCUCUCAACAUCGUCCCGACUUCAACUGGUGCGGCGAAGGCCGUGGCCCUUGUACUCCCUACUCUCAAAGGCAAACUUAAUGGCAUCGCAUUGCGUGUGCCAACACCAAAUGUGUCGGUGGUGGACCUAGUGGUCCAGGUUUCAAAGAAGACGUUUGCUGAAGAGGUGAACGCUGCUUUCAAAGAGAGUGCAGAGAAAGAGCUACAGGGUAUACUUUCAGUGUGUGAAGAACCCCUUGUUUCAGUGGACUUCAGGUGC
rnacentral:lncRNA from 1 species